AUGCGAUACCUGGUGUGAAUUGCAGAAUUCCGCGAAUCAUCGAAUCUUUGAACGCAAGUUGUGCCCGAGGUUAGUGCCGAAGGCGUGCCUGCUUGAGCGUC
rnacentral:rRNA from 1 species